UGGCGGCGUGCCUAACACAUGCAAGUCGAACGGAGAUAUGAUUUCGGUUGUAUCUUAGUGGCGAACGGGUGAGUAACGCGUGAGCAACCUGACCUUCAGAGGGGGAUAACACUCGGAAACGAGUGCUAAUACCGCAUAAGACCACGACAUGACAUCAUGACGAGGUCAAAGGAGCAAUCCGCUGAGGGAGGGGCUCGCGUCCCAUUAGAUAGAUGGCGGGGUAACGGCCCACCAUGUCCGCGAUGGGUAGCCGAGCUGAGAGGCUGAUCGGCCACACUGGAACUGAGACACGGUCCAGACUCCUACGGGAGGCAGCAGUGGGGAAUAUUGGGCAAUGGGCGCAAGCCUGACCCAGCAACGCCGCGUGAGGGAAGAAGGCUUUCGGGUUGUAAACCUCUGUCCUUGGUGACGAAAAAAAUGACGGUAGCCAAGGAGGAAGCCCCGGCUAACUACGUGCCAGCAGCCGCGGUAAUACGUAGGGGGCGAGCGUUGUCCGGAAUUACUGGGCGUAAAGGGUGCGUAGGUGGCCUUUUAAGUUGGAUGUGAAAUCCCCGAGCUUAACUUGGGUGGUGCAUCUAAUACU
rnacentral:rRNA from 1 species